GCCGGGCGUGGUGGCGGGCGCCUGUAGUCCCAGCUACACGGGAGGCUGAGGCAGGAGAAUGGCUCGAACCCGGGAGGCGGAGCUUGCAGUGAGCCGAGAUCGCGCCAUUGCACUCCAGCCUGGGUGACAGAGCGAGACUCCGUCUCAAAAAAAAAAAAAGUAAUAAUAAUGAUGAUAUGUCGCCCAGGCUGGAGUGCAGUGGCAUGAUCUUGGCUCACUGCAACCUCCCCCACCCAGGCUCAGGUGAUCCUCCUGCCUCAG
rfam:Homo sapiens chromosome 5 genomic contig HG30_PATCH, GRC reference assembly FIX PATCH for GRCh38.